rnacentral:lncRNA from 1 species
GCCCCACCCCCUCCGAGGCCGAAAUCUGCGGAAGUUAAACAGCUCGAGGAUGGAGUCGGCGGCGUUAAGUUCCUAAUACGCGCGUUAUUUCCCAAACUCAGAAGGAUGGAAGAGGGCGCUGUGUGGGCAGGGGGCGUCGGGUCCCUCCGGAGCACAGUUAGGUGGGGGGCUGUCCCAUCCACUUGCCCAGGUGCAGUGGCCGCUAAGAAUCCAGCCAAGGCACCAACGCUGCGCCCCACACGCGGGAUGAUUGGGAUGCACAGGGGUGCAGAGUAGAGGGUCUCCGGGCGGUUCUCCACCGACUCCCUAGUGCGUCUCACCACGCGCCAGCCUUGGUGACCGCACUACACGUAUGAACUCCUUUGACCCUCGCAACAGCCGUCGAGAAAGGCACUCCCCCCACCCCCCACCGCGAUUUCCACUUCGCAGACCUGGAAACCGCAUCAGAAAGAGGUGAGGUGACUGCUCCGCAUCCGCAGACCCAGGACGCGGAGCUCUGGCCUCUGGAUGGCGGCGACUGCGCUUCCUUCUCCCUCCAGUUUCAGGCUGGGGGACACUCACCCCAGGGACGCGGGGGCGGGUGUGUGUGUUGGGGGGGUGCUGUAGGAGGGCCCGAGCAUCCUUAAGGGGCGGCUGCUGGAAGGAGAGCCAAAGAUCCAAAGAGGAGGGAGGAAUCCAAGGAUUCGGUGCCUCUAACCUACCUGGGGAACACUCUUCCUCAGAAACAAAGAGUAGUAUUCAAUAAUCAAACUAAGUCGGCUACAGCAAAUGGAACUUUCUGAGCCAGGGAUUGAAUCCGAGCCACAGCUUUGGCAACCCUGGAUCGUCUAACCCACUGCACUGGGCCAGGGAUCAAACCCACUCCUCCACAGCAACCCGAGCCACUGCAUUUGGAUCCUUAACCCACUGUGUCAUGGCAGGAACACAAGAAGGUAUAUUUUCAUCACUGGAAAAAUAAAAAAAAUAAUGUUACAAAAACGUAGACCCUCUCCAUCCUCCACCGCCAGCAGCAGCAAAAACAAAAUCACACACAGAAAAACUAAGAACAUGGUUUGAGGGAGAAGUGAGUUGGAAGCUGAGUUCAAGAUUGUCCUAACCCAGGACAAUUUGGCUUAAAACAGAAAAGGGAAAUGGCCAUAAACAUCUCUCAGGAAGGGUGGGGCCUCUGGUGGAAAGACAACAUCAAGGCACAGGCUAGGAUUUUCACAGGAUUCAUGCUAGCAAAAUGUUAUACAAGAAAGGUAAUUUUUGCAUCCUUGCCCAGACUGCAUUGAGAAAGACUAGUCAGAAAGUUACUGGUAUGGUUUUAAAGUGGUUAAUGCCUUGUUAUUAGGUGAGAACAGGGUGAAAGGGUGAUUCUCAGAACAUCUCAGUGGUCAAAUUCAGUAGGGAAUGGAGAGACAACCUCGCUGGCAUUUAGAGGUACCAAGACUCUACAUGGAAAAGAACAGUCUUUUCCGAUGCCCAAGAAAUUGGCUGAGAGAUGAUUUUGAUGGAAAAGUCCUGAAUGUGAUGAUAUACACGUCCUAUUAGCAUCAUUUAGAAUCAGGAUUCCAACGUUUGAAUACCAACUACCCUAUUUACUCUCUGACUUUUGUAAAAAUUUUAACCUCGUUGAGGGAGUUCCCGUCGUGGCACAGCAGAAAUGAAUCCAACUAGGAACCAUGAGGUUGUGGGUCCAAUCCCUGGCCUCCCUCAGUGGGUUAAGGAUCUGGCACUGCCGUGAGCGUGAGCUGUGGUGUAGGUUGCAGCCGCAGCUCAGAACCCACAUUGCUGUGGCUGUGGCAUGGGCCGGCGGGGCUGCAGCUCUGAUUAGACCCCUAGCUUGGGAACCUCCCUAUACUGUGGGUGCGGCCCUAAAAAGGACCAAAAAAAAGAAAAAAGAAAAAAAAAUUUAACCUCUUUGAGCUUUGGUUUCCUUUAUUUUAAAAAUGUAAAUAUCAAUAGCUACUUCACAGAACUGUUUUAAGGAUUAAAUAAACUUACACAAAAACACUUAAUGCCUGGUACAUACAUCUCAAAAAUGUUUCAAAACAUACCAUAUUACCUACCAUUGGGGGGGAGCUGGGGGAAGGGUCCACAGGACCUUCCUGUACAUUUUUCACAACUUCCUGUGAAUCUGUAAUUAUUUCAAAAUAAAAUGCUUAAAAAA